rnacentral:rRNA from 1 species
GUCGAGCGGCGGACGGGUGAGUAACGCGUAGGAAUCUACCUAGUAGUGGGGGAUAGCCCAGAGAAAUUUGGAUUAAUACCGCAUACGCCCUAUGUGGGAAAGCAGGGGAUCUUCGGACCUUGCGCUAUUAGAUGAGCCUGCGUGAGAUUAGCUAGUUGGUGGGGUAAAGGCUCACCAAGGCGACGAUCUCUAGCUGGUCUGAGAGGAUGAUCAGCCACACUGGGACUGAGACACGGCCCAGACUCCUACGGGAGGCAGCAGUGGGGAAUAUUGGACAAUGGGGGCAACCCUGAUCCAGCCAUGCCGCGUGUGUGAAGAAGGCCUUCGGGUUGUAAAGCACUUUCAGCGAGGAGGAAGGGGUGUUACUUAAUACGUAGCAUUCUUGACGUUACUCGCAGAAGAAGGACCGGCUAACUCCGUGCCAGCAGCCGCGGUAAUACGGAGGGUCCGAGCGUUAAUCGGAAUUACUGGGCGUAAAGCGUACGCAGGCGGUUUGUUAAGCGAGAUGUGAAAGCCCCGGGCUCAACCUGGGAACUGCAUUUCGAACUGACAAACUAGAGUUUUGUAGAGGGUGGUAGAAUUUCAGGUGUAGCGGUGAAAUUCGUAGAGAUCUGAAGGAAUACCAGUGGCGAGGGCGGCCCCCUGGACAAUAACUGCCGCUCAUGUCCGAAAGCGUGGGGAGCAAACGGGAUUAGAUCCCCCGGUAGUCCACGCCGUAAACGAUGUCAACUAGCCGACUGACCCCUUGAGGGUUGGGUGGCGCAGCUAACGCAUUAAGUUGACCGCCUGGGGAGUACGACCGCAAGGUUAAAACUCAAAUGAAUUGACGGGGGCCCGCACAAGCGGUGGAGCAUGUGGUUUAAUUCGAUGCAACCUAUGAAUUUUACUCACACUUUAUAUUCACGGAUUUAUUCGGCGAUGAAGGCGUGAAACCGGUUCUCUUAUCAUAAGUUGCUUGUCUAUCUCAGCUCAUGUUGUGAGUUGGGGGUUAAUUCCCCGUUACGAGCGCAUCCCUAAUCCUUACUUGCCAGCGGGUGAUGCCGGGAACUGUAGGGAGCUGCCGGUGAUAAACCGGAGGAAGGUGGGGCCGACGUCAAGUCCCCAUGGCCCUUACGAGUAGGGCUACACACGUGAACAAUGGACAGUACAGAGGGAAGCAAAGCGGCGACGUGGAGCGGGGCCUAAUUCCCUAAAUAGUACGGGGGCUUAGCUUCUUCCACGAACUUUAAAAAUCGCUCCCAACCCCCGGUU